UUGACUUUUCAACUCUUGAAAAGUUAGACGCAAGGUAAUUGGAUAUAUACAUAUAUAUAUAAACUUGUAGAUCUCACAGUUUGGAUGCAAAACACGGUGUUAUCAGAAGAAAACCAAAACGACAAUAUCAGUUCAUCUCUUUUCCCAUAUUCAAACAAUUAACAAAAGAAACAAAGCAAAUAUUUACCAAAUCAAUCACCCAGAAACUCAUGAGAUCAAAUGAAAGGAAAGACAGGUGAAAACUCACAUGGAUCUAAGGGCGGUUCCGACGUAACGUUAGAGAGGAGGCUGUCGGGAUACUUCCGAUCGUCCUUGCAGCUGUCUUUGGUUGUCGGCGCGGAGCGGCUGUUCGAAGGAUCUACUGAACAGGUUGGCUGAAGUUGAAUCGUAGUCGUCGGUGCUCUGUGUUGCGUUGCGGUUGUUGGCACUCUGUGUUGCGUUGCGGUUGUUGGCGAGGUGCUCGUCGGAGAUUUGUGAGCACGAAUUUCUCGCGCGGUGGUUCUGCGCGUGGUGCAGCGACCAUGGGCUUGACGGCGAGGAGGUGGACGAAGCGAUUAUGCGUGGAACAAUCGUCGGCAAUUUAUUUACCAUGUGCGCUUCAGAUUGACAGAGAUGAGACCCUCCUCAUGCUCAGGCACGUGCUCUGAGCGGUUGUUGGUGGUUCAAGAGAAGUGACGUAGCAAAUCGGUGAUGAUUUCAAGCUAUUGUGUUUUGUCUGACGAGUCGAUUUCUUAAGUCGAUAAAGAUGCGUUGAAUUAAAGCUUCUUGUACGAUUUGUGAAGGUGAUUGUUGAGCGUCAAGCUGUUGUUGUAUUGACUAACCGCUGGAUUACUGUUGCUUUUUUGGCAGGUUUUAUGAUGAUGGAACUGUGAAUAUGUUUAAUUGAUGGAUUAGUGGUUUUACGCUAAUGGAUGAAGGUUCUGCAGAAGGAUUGGGAAGAAGUAACGUUACAGCUUGUGAUGGAGAAUUGGUUGAUGAAAAGGUUGAAAAUAUGGAUCAAUUUUCUGGAAUUCUGGUGAACAUGGUUCAGGUUUUAAGGAAGAUUGCAAUUAACGGUUUGGAGGAAGUUUGAGAUUAACUUUGGUGGAGUGACAACACUAUUUUCUUCCUUUCUUGUGUGAAAUUGUUCGCGAUGAAAAGUGUAUAUAAAAAAAAGGAUGGUGUGAACUCCUUUUGUACGUGAGGGAUUGAGAGUGUAUGAAAGUGAAUAAGGGUUGUAUGAGUUACCAAUCGUGGGAAUAGGUUAGGUUUUUUCUCCCUUUUGUGAAUUAUGGCUCCUCCUUUUAUAGCAUAGCUUUUAGGGUUUUUUAAUGUGUAACUUGGGCCUUACUAAAAAAUAGACAAUGGACCUCUGGAGAUUUCUUGGA